AUUAUCUAUAGUUUUAUUUUUAUUUCAAUAUAAUGAUCUAUAGUUAAACAGAGUAUCACCAUGUGAUUUUUUUAAAAAAAUAUUAUUUUAAUAUCCUAUUUACUUUUUUCCAGUGAAAAUAAUCAAGGGGAUCGACCGUCACUAGAGCAAGUGGCAAAGGGCUUGGUGGUUGGUACCCAAGGUCCCAAGUUCGAAUCCUAGUUGAUUCAUAUUUCUAGAAAAAAAAUCAAAGAAUUAAAUCUAACUGUGAAAACUCGAUAGCACCAAGUCCUUGAUGCUAAUGAUAGUAUCCUAGCCGGACUCAUAAAAGCCACCUCAUUUUACUUUUUGUAAAAAAUAUAUAAAUGUAUACAAGUUUCCUGAACUUUAGGUCAUUCAGAAGCAACUUCUCAAUCUUUAAACAUUUUAAAUUUGGGUGCGUUUGGUUCGAGUUAUCCUGACAGGAUUACAGGCAAUCCUGCCAGGAUAAGUGUGUUUGGUUAAUCCACUAUGUAAUCUAGUCGUUAAUGUAGCAUUACAAAUCAAGAAGGAUUACAUCGAAAAUAUUAACGGGAGGGGGAUCGUGUAUCUUGCAUUACUGAAACCCGUUAAUACUAUAUAUUAUGUAAAAUGACAAUUUUACCCUCCAACAACCCCAAAUCUAAUUAACAGUAUUAUUUUCAUCUCUCUCUCGCCUUCCCCCCGGCCCUCUCUCUCGCACGCCGCUUUCUCUCGCUCUCUCUCUCUCUCUCAACGUCUCUCUCUCUCUCUCUCUUUCUCUCUCUCUCGCGCGCACGAACACCUAUCAUCUUCUAUUGCGUCGUCCUCCCAAGUAAUCAUCACGAUCUCCUUCCCUCCAUUCGUCAUUUCCGCAAAAAAUAUUAUUCAAAUGACCACAACAAUGGUAAUUUUGAAAAAAACUAUACUUUUAUGUAAGAAUUACUAAAUUUUAUAAACUGAACCAAACAUAUUAAUGUUAUAAACACUGUAAUCUAGGAUUACAUUACUGUAUUAAAUCAAACGCUCUAAUACAGCAUCAGUAAUAAUCUCACGCCGAAAUCCAAGAUACCUGGAUAUGUCGAGAUACUUCGUAAUAUUACAUAACUCGAACCAAACAGGCCAGGGUUAAAUACUAAUGUAUCCUGUUAAAGUUUAAAAAUAACUUAUAUGUUCCUUCAAAUUUUAAAUUAAUUUGGAUAUCCUUCUAAACUUGUAAUACCUUAUCAAAAUUUUCUUCCAAUUAAAUUUUUACCAAUUUUUUAAAAAUUUUAUUUAGUUUCUCUCUUCUUUCUCACCCUUUUUCUUGCCUACAAAAAUCAGUUUUUUUUUUCUUUAGAGUAAGCCAACUACUCCUUUAUAGAUUUAGUAUUCAUUAUAUAAUCACAACUUCUAUUAUAGUGAAGAAGCUAUAUUAUUGCAAAAGAUUCUCUUCUCAAUUUAGAGUUAUUUGAAUUCAAAUGAAAAAAAAAUAAAAUAUAAUUUGGUAGGAGAUACUCUUAUUGAUUAGCGGAUAAGAUUGAAAGUUAGUAAAAGAUUAAAGAUCGGUAAGAGAAGAGAAAAACGAAAGAUAAAAAAAAGAUUUUUAAAAAAAUUAAUUAAGAGGGUAUUUUUGUAAGAUAUUACAAGUUUAGAGAGGUAUACAUAGUAAUUUGAAAUUUAG
rnacentral:lncRNA from 1 species